AUGAACGCUGGCGGCGUGCCUAAUACCUGCAAGUCGAGCGCACGGACGAGAAGCUUGCUUUUCUGAUGUUAGCGGCGGACGGGUGAGUAACACGUGGAUAACCUACCUAUAAGACUGGGAUAACUUCGGGAAACCGGAGCUAAUACCGGAUAAUAUUUUGAACCGCAUGGUUCAAAAGUGAAAGACGGUCUUGCUGUCACUUAUAGAUGGAUCCGCGCUGCAUUAGCUAGUUGGUAAGGUAACGGCUUACCAAGGCAACGAUGCAUAGCCGACCUGAGAGGGUGAUCGGCCACACUGGAACUGAGACACGGUCCAGACUCCUACGGGAGGCAGCAGUAGGGAAUCUUCCGCAAUGGGCGAAAGCCUGACGGAGCAACGCCGCGUGAGUGAUGAAGGUCCUCGGAUCGUAAAACUCUGUUAUUAGGGAAGAACAUAUGUGUAAGUAACUGUGCACAUCUUGACGGUACCUAAUCAGAAAGCCACGGCUAACUACGUG
rnacentral:rRNA from 1 species